AGUGAACGCUGCCGGUAGGCCUAACACAUGCAAGUCGAACGGCAGCACAGUAAGAGCUUGCUCUUACGGGUGGCGAGUGGCGGACGGGUGAGGAAUACAUCGGAAUCUACUUUUUCGUGGGGGAUAACGUAGGGAAACUUACGCUAAUACCGCCUACGACCUACGGGUGAAAGCCGGGGAUCUUCGGACCUUGCGCGAUUGAAUGAGCCGAUGUCGGAUUAGCUAGUUGGCGGGGUAAAGGCCCACCAAGGCGACGAUCCGUAGCUGGUCUGAGAGGAUGAUCAGCCACACUGGAACUGAGACACGGUCCAGACUCCUACGGGAGGCAGCAGUGGGGAAUAUUGGACAAUGGGCGCAAGCCUGAUCCAGCCAUACCGCGUGGGUGAAGAAGGCCUUCGGGUUGUAAAGCCCUUUUGUUGGGAAAGAAAAGCAGCAGGUUAAUACCCCGCUGUUCUGACGGUACCCAAAGAAUAAGCACCGGCUAACUUCGUG
rnacentral:rRNA from 1 species